GGCCCUCGUAACCUAGAGAAGGGCUUUCCCUUCGGGGACAGAGUGACAGGUGGUGCAUGGUUGUCGUCAGCUCGUGUCGUGAGAUGUUGGGUUAAGUCCCGCAACGAGCGCAACCCUUGAUCUUAGUUGCCAGCAUUUAGUUGGGCACUCUAAGGUGACUGCCGGUGACAAACCGGAGGAAGGUGGGGAUGACGUCAAAUCAUCAUGCCCCUUAUGACCUGGGCUACACACGUGCUACAAUGGACAGAACAAAGGGCUGCGAGACCGCAAGGUUUAGCCAAUCCCAUAAAUCUGUUCUCAGUUCGGAUCGCAGUCUGCAACUCGACUGCGUGAAGCUGGAAUCGCUAGUAAUCGCGGAUCAGCAUGCCGCGGUGAAUACGUUCCCGGGUCUUGUACACACCGAAUA
rnacentral:rRNA from 1 species